UCCAGACUUCAUCAAUAUCUGAGCUCCUUCAAUAACGAGGUCUCUACAGUAAUCAGACUCCAUCCAAGUUUCUACGGUGGUCGACUGCCUUCAGGAUUUCGACCGAGCUCCUGCGAGAAGCAUUCUACUACGAGCGAUCUACCUCGAGCUUCUACUACGAGCAGUUCCAGCCGAGCUCCUGUGAGAGCCAAACUUCUACUA
rnacentral:lncRNA from 1 species